AAGUCGUAACAAGGUUUCCGUAGGUGAACCUGCGGAAGGAUCAUUAUAGCAUGUGGAAGGGGGGUGGUGGAUGGAAUAUGCCAUUGCCCGCCCGCCAAUCAGCGCCGGGAGCGAGCCGCUGUGGCGGCGCGUGCCCGAGCCGGAGGGGGAUCUAUGCGAUCUCGAUCUAUGCGAUGGAGGUCUAUGCGAUGGAUCUCGAUCUAUGCGAUGGAGAUCUAUGCGAUCUCGAUCUAUGCGAUGGAGAUCUAUCAGAUGGUCCGCACUGUCCAUCAGAUCCCUACAAUCAGCCCCAAUCUGUAUGUAUGUCGGACUGUGUCCAAUCAAUCAAAUGUAAUGUACAACUUUUAACAAUGGAUCUCUCGGCUCCU
rnacentral:misc_RNA from 1 species